rnacentral:rRNA from 1 species
GGGGAACCAGGACUUUUACUUUGAAAAAAUUAGAGUGCUCCAGGCAGGCCUAUGCUCGAAUACAUUAGCAUGGAAUAAUAGAAUAGGACGUGUGGUUCUAUUUUGUUGGUUUCUAGGACCGCCGUAAUGAUUAAUAGGGACAGUCGGGGGCAUCAGUAUUCAAUUGUCAGAGGUGAAAUUCUUGGAUCUAUUGAAGACUAACUACUGCGAAAGCAUUUGCCAAGGAUGUUUUCAUUGAUAAGGAACGAAAGUUAGGGGAUCGAAGACGAUCAGAUACCGUCGUAGUCUUAACUAUAAACUAUGCCGACUAGGGAUCGGACGAUGUUAUCUUUUCACGCGUUCGGCACCUUUCGAGAAAUCAAAGUGCUUGGGCUCCAGGGGGAGUAUGGUCGCAAGGCUGAAACUUAAAGAAAUUGACGGAAGGGCACCACCAGGGGUGGAACCUGCGGCUUAAUUUGACUCAACACGGGGAAACUCACCAGGUCCAGACACAGUGAGGAUUGACAGAUUGAGAGCUCUUUCUUGAUUCUGUGGGUGGUGGUGCAUGGCCGUUCUUAGUUGGUGGAGUGAUUUGUCUGCUUAAUUGCGAUAACGAACGAGACCU